rnacentral:sRNA from 1 species
GAUGCGUUAUUAAGAGGACUUUAUGAUGGAGUUCUUGACGUUUUUCUCUCUUUUCUAUACUUCUUUUUCUUUCUUUGAAUGUCCAGCGUCCUGUGAGCGAAGAUUAUGAGAUAUGAGGGCAAGUCUGUUAGAGCAAGAAAACUGGUUGUCAAAAUAUUGUGGUUUCUUUCUUUGUAAGAAGGGUGAUUUAACUAAGGAUAAAACAAGGCAUUUUCUAAACUAUAGUUAAAUUUGCAGUUUUUUAUUUGAAUAUUUUAGUCAUGCUAAUUCUAAGAGAAUUCUCAUAAAUGUAAGAUUUAUAAUAGUAUCUUACUACUGUAUGCCUCAGAUCUUUAAAUUUUUUGCCAAAAAUUAAACCUGUUAAUGUGGAGUACCUUCUUUAGUUUUUCAAAAAGCUUAAUGUUUCCCUAGAUUCUGUCACUGUAUGAGAUUUUAGAAUGUUGUAUUUAAUAUGUUCGCCAACUGCAUGUUGUUAAUUUAGAUAUAUUUUGUUUUCAAUUCCAGAUUAGCCUGAGGCCUGCUCAGUCGUUCCUAAUGAAUAAAAAUCAAGUGCCAAAGCUUCAGCCCCAGAUAACUAUGAUUCCUCCUAGUGCACAACCACCACGCACUCAAACACCACCUCUGGGACAGACACCUCAGCUUGGUCUCAAAACUAAUCCACCACUUAUCCAGGAAAAGCCUGCCAAGACCAGCAAAAAGCCACCACCGUCAAAGGAAGAACUCCUUAAACUAACUGAAACUGUUGUGACUGAAUAUCUAAAUAGUGGAAAUGCAAAUGAGGCUGUCAGUGGUGUAAGAGAAAUGAGGGCUCCUAAACACUUUCUUCCUGAGAUGUUAAGCAAAGUAAUCAUC